CUCCUUUUCCCCAUCAGUAAAACUAAUCUCCCCGUGAAGAAGCGGGGAUAAUUUUAUAAGACGAGAAGACCCCAUGGAGCUUUAAACCCAACUAUACCCCUCUUAAUUUUACUUUUAAACAUUCGGGGCCCUAUAUGUUUCGGUUUUAGGUUGGGGUGACCACGGAGCAUAAACUAGCCUCCAUAAUGAAUAGACCUCCUCUUUAUCCAAGACCCACGUCUCUAAGAAUUAGUAAUCUAACAUAAAAUGAUCCGAUAUUCGAUCAACGAACCAAGUUACCCUGGGGAUAACAGCGCAAUCUACUUCAAGAGCCCCUAUCGACAAGUAGGUU
rnacentral:rRNA from 1 species